AAAGAAAAGGAGUACCGGUGGCACCUUAGAGACUAACAAAUUUAUUAGAGCAUAAGCUUUCGCAGGUUCCCUCCCCACUCUGAACUCUAGGGUACAGACGUGGGGACCCACAUGAAAGACCCCCUAAGCUUAUUUCUACCAGCCUAGGUUAAAAACUCCCUAGGCACAAAUUCUCCAUUGUACCUUGGGUUUAAGUAACGCGGCGGCCACCACCAAGUGAUUUAACAAAGAACCAGGGAAAAGCACCACUUGGAGUUCCUCUUCCCGCAGUAAUCCCCCAAGC